UCUGGUAGUGAUGGCGGAGAGGCCACACCUGUUCCCAUACCGAACACAGAAGUUAAGCUCUUCAGCGCCGAUGGUAGUUGGGGGUUCCCCCUGCAAGAGUAGGACGCCGCCAGGC
rnacentral:rRNA from 1 species